rnacentral:misc_RNA from 1 species
GAUGAAGAACGCAGCGAAAUGCGAUAAGUAAUGUGAAUUGCAGAACUCAGUGAAUCAUCGAAUCUUUGAACGCACAUUGCGCCCCCUGGCCUUCCGGGGGGCAUGCCUGUUCGAGCGUCAUUGCUGCCCUCAAGCACGGCUUGUGUGUUGGGCCUCCGUCCUCCUCCCGGGGGACGGGCCCGAAAGGCAGCGGCGGCACCGCGUCCGGUCCUCGAGCGUAUGGGGCUUCGUCACCCGCUCUUGUAGGCCCGGCCGGCGCUUGCCGACACAUCAAUCUUUUUUCCAGGUUGACCUCGGAUCAGGUAGGGAUACCCGCUGAACUUAAGCAUAUCAAUAAGCGGAGGA